rnacentral:rRNA from 1 species
GAUGAACGCUGGCGGCGUGCCUAAUACAUGCAAGCCGAGCGAACAGAUAAGGAGCUUGCUCCUUUGACGUUAGCGGCGGACGGGUGAGUAACACGUGGGUAACCUACCUAUAAGACUGGGAUAACUUCGGGAAACCGGAGCUAAUACCGGAUAAUAUUUCGAACCGCAUGGUUCGAUAGUGAAAGAUGGUUUUGCUAUCACUUAUAGAUGGACCCGCGCCGUAUUAGCUAGUUGGUAAGGUAACGGCUUACCAAGGCGACGAUACGUAGCCGACCUGAGAGGGUGAUCGGCCACACUGGAACUGAGACACGGUCCAGACUCCUACGGGAGGCAGCAGUAGGGAAUCUUCCGCAAUGGGCGAAAGCCUGACGGAGCAACGCCGCGUGAGUGAUGAAGGUCUUCGGAUCGUAAAACUCUGUUAUUAGGGAAGAACAUACGUGUAAGUAACUGUGCACGUCUUGACGGUACCUAAUCAGAAAGCCACGGCUAACUACGUG